GUGCUCACUUUGGCAGCAUAUACACUGAAAUUGGAAUAAUACAGAGAAGAUUAGCAUGGUCCCUAGGCAAGGAUGACACGCUAUUGAGUAAAGUGCAUAAUUUCA
ensembl:snRNA U6 U6 spliceosomal RNA